rnacentral:tRNA from 1 species
GUUUUUAUAGUUUAAUUAAAACUUUGGUCUUGUAAAUCAAUAUUAAGAUAAUUCUUUAAAAACU